GAAGUCCAAUUUUUUAAAAUGGAGAAAAGGAUGAAGGAAGUCCAAUCGUUUAAAUCGGAGUUGAAGAAAAAGAGAAGGAUAAAGGAAGAACUAUUGUUUCAGUCGAUGUUGAAACAAAUGAAUGUGGAACCUAUGUUUUAUGCGAUGUUGGAAAGGAUAAGUGAAGAAAAACUAGUUGAAUCAGUUUUUCGGGUGUUAAAGA
rnacentral:misc_RNA from 1 species